ensembl:snRNA U6 U6 spliceosomal RNA
AUAGUCAGUGACAGUGCUAAUACCAAAACUGGAAUGAUGCAGAGAAGAUUAGCAUGGUUCCUGGGUAAGGAUGACAUUCAAAGUCGUGAAUAGUCCAUAUGUUAA